rnacentral:rRNA from 1 species
CCUCUGACAACCCUAGAGAUAGGGCUUUCCCUUCGGGGACAGAGUGACAGGUGGUGCAUGGUUGUCGUCAGCUCGUGUCGUGAGAUGUUGGGUUAAGUCCCGCAACGAGCGCAACCCUUGAUCUUAGUUGCCAGCAUUCAGUUGGGCACUCUAAGGUGACUGCCGGUGACAAACCGGAGGAAGGUGGGGAUGACGUCAAAUCAUCAUGCCCCUUAUGACCUGGGCUACACACGUGCUACAAUGGACAGAACAAAGGGYUGCGAGACCGCAAGGUUUAGCCAAUCCCACAAAUCUGUUCUCAGUUCGGAUCGCAGUCUGCAACUCGACUGCGUGAAGCUGGAAUCGCUAGUAAUCGCGGAUCAGCAUGCCGCGGUGAAUACGUUCCCGGGCCUUGUACACACCGCCCGUCACACCACGAGAGUUUGCAACACCCGAAGUCGGUGAGGUAACCUUUAUGGAGCCAGCCGCCGAAGGUGGGGCAGAUGAUUGGGGUGAAGUCGUAACAAGGUAGCCGUAUCGGAAGGUGCGGCUGGAUCACCUCCUUUCUA